CACGUAGGGCGCAAGCGUUGUCCGGAAUUAUUGGGCGUAAAGAGUUCGUAGGCGGUCUGUUACGUCUGCUGUGAAAACCCUGGGCUUAACCCUGGGCUUGCAGUGGAUACGGGCAGACUAGAGGCAGGUAGGGGAGAAUGGAAUUCCCGGUGUAGCGGUGAAAUGCGCAGAUAUCGGGAGGAACACCGGUGGCGAAGGCGGUUCUCUGGGACGGUACUGACGCUGAGACGCGAAAGCGUGGGGAGCAAACAGG
rnacentral:rRNA from 1 species